UACGAAGGGGGCUAGCGUUGUUCGGAAUUACUGGGCGUAAAGCGCGCGCAGGCGGUCUUCCAAGUCAGUGGUGAAAGCCCGGAGCUCAACUCCGGAAUUGCCAUUGAAACUGUGAGACUGGAGUACGAGAGAGGUGAGUGGAAUUCCCAGUGUAGAGGUGAAAUUCGUAGAUAUUGGGAAGAACACCGGUGGCGAAGGCGGUUCUCUGGGCCUUACCUGACACUGAGGAGCGAAAGCGUGGGGAGCGAACAGG
rnacentral:rRNA from 1 species